rnacentral:hammerhead_ribozyme from 1 species
AUCCAGCUGAUGAAUCCCAAAUAGGAUGUAACGCACGUCCUGGAU